AACGCACAUUGCGCCCGCCGGUAUUCCGGCGGGCAUGCCUGUUCGAGCGUCAUUUCGACCCUCACCCUCCCCUAAAAGGCGGGUGGCGUUGGGGCGUCCGCGUCACUGCGGAGGCCCUCAAGUCUAUAGGCGGUCCCGUCGGGUCCUCGAGCGCAGUAAAACCACUAUCGUUCGGCGGUCGCGGCGGUGUUCUUGCCCCUAAACACCCCAUUUUUAAAAGGUUGACCUCGGAUCAGGUAGGAAUACCCGCUGAACUUAA
rnacentral:misc_RNA from 1 species